AACGAACGCUGGCGGCAUGCCUAACACAUGCAAGUCGAACGAGACCUUCGGGUCUAGUGGCGCACGGGUGCGUAACGCGUGGGAACCUGCCUUUAGGUUCGGAAUAACUCCCCGAAAGGGGUGCUAAUACCAGAUAAUGUCUUCGGACCAAAGAUUUAUCGCCUUUGGAUGGGCCCGCGUUGGAUUAGCUAGUUGGUAGGGUAAAAGCCUACCAAGGCGACGAUCCAUAGCUGGUCUGAGAGGAUGAUCAGCCACACUGGGACUGAGACACGGCCCAGACUCCUACGGGAGGCAGCAGUGGGGAAUAUUGGACAAUGGGCGAAAGCCUGAUCCAGCAAUGCCGCGUGAGUGAUGAAGGCCUUAGGGUUGUAAAGCUCUUUUACCCGGGAUGAUAAUGACAGUACCGGGAGAAUAAGCUCCGGCUAACUCCGUG
rnacentral:rRNA from 1 species